ACCAAUCAAACGCGACCUCCAGCUGCCUGUCAGGCAUAUUUAUCCAGGGCUUGUCUACAAUUUUCUGCAGCCUGGUUACCGCUCAUCGCUUCCAGCCCGGAGGCAAAUCUAACGCAAGCUGUGCGUCAGGUUCGUCAAGUGUGUGGUUCACCAAGCAUUUAAUUCAGAAAUAAGGACGCAAGGUUUGUUCAAAUAAGUUCCGUUACAGUACGAGUUCAUUUCGGUCGCUUUCUCCUCCAGUCUGCAGUUUAUUGUUGUGCAGCGGCGCCGCCUGCUGCUCGGACUGCGUCGGUUCAACUGGAGCUUUUACGCAGAUGCGUAAUUGUGCCAAAAAGGUGCCAAAAACUGAUUGCGCUCUACUUGCUAAAACGGAAUCACACAGUUAGUGCUUUGAUCUCCAUUAAACGGUCACAACUUGCAUGUUUAGAAAGGAGCUUUUCCCAGUUGUACUACGACAGCAACUGACAGCUUUUCUUGUUAAAACUGAAUCACCCAGUUUAUGUACAUCUCCAGCUGCUUUUAUCUGGAUUAAAACAGCCUUGUUGUGCAAAUACAUGAACUUUAUAUCUGUGGUGAUGCUAAAAAGAGGUCUCCAAUUUACAAUGUAAUCAGGUCUAACAUGUAGGAUAAUUAUAGGCAGUACUAUAGUAUUUUUUUCUCCCAGUGUUAAAGGAUUAUAAUUCUGUGACUUACAGAUGGAGUUUUAUGUGUAGCCAAUGAGCUAAGAUUUUUAAAAUUUAACUCAUGAAUGAAACUGACUCAUUCUGAUGCAUUAAUAAUAUUUCAUUCACGAGAAAGGGGAGGAUUGUUAAGAUGUGGGGCUCAAAGCAGGUAAAGUAAUGCAGGCAUAAUUGGAAUUGCUCCCAGUCAAAGCACAACACUGGUGCAAAAAAAUAAUAGUCUGUCAAAUACUGGUUAUCCUUGUGUGUCUUCAUUAUUUUAACCUGUUUGGCCCAGAUCAUUAUGGAAUACAGUUUUAUUCAACAUUAACUAAAUAAAUAUUCUUAUAAAAUAAAUAAUGGCCGUGAAUAUUCCUGAAUAAAUAAAUGUACAGAAAUGUAAGGAAAGUCCCCUGGAAUAAAUGAAAGUAAAAAUUAUCCAUUGAAUAAUCAAUCUUGUAUAUAUUUUUUGAUCCAUUCUCCAAAAAAAAAAAAAAAAUUUUAGCUUAUUUCAUAGCUAUUGCCAUUUCUUAUGAAAAAAAAUGUGAAAACAUUAAUAUUUUAGAAUUCAUUUCUUAUUUGAUAGUUAUUUUAUAGAAGAAAAUUCUUUUAAGAAAAGUAGAAUUUAUUUCAUAGCUAUGUCAUUGGAAAAUUUACUUACAUAACGUCAUAAAAUGGAAUUUCAGUCAGUCUUUGUUGUAGUUUUAACCAGUUGAAACAGUUUUAAAAGACUACUUUAACUCAUUUAAUGCCGUUUUCCACCAACCAAAUGACUGCAGCCCCUUUACUAUGACUGACCUUAUUAAUGUUUUAAUGAUUUAAUUUAUGAAGAUUGUAUUUUUUUUUUUUUACAAUUACAGCCCAUAGAAUAACAGCAUUUUUUUUUUUUUUUUUUUACAUGAAACACUUCUACAAAUUGUAAUAAUUAAAGCGUAGUUUCCAAAUAUAUCAAACACAUGCAGCCUAAAUAUGGCAAACAAUACCAAUAGGGUCCGUGUACGGAUCUGGUAAUUGGAUUUUACGUUCUGAAACGGGUAUUGAAAAACAAAAAACGAGUGGUUAUUUUAUUUGCGUAUUAAAAUAUGAAAAUUAAAAUUGAAAUACAAGGCGUUUUUCCUUUCAUGAUCAAAAAGGGAUAUACGAAUUUUUUUUUUAAAUGCUUUGAUUUUCGUUUUAUAUUUAGAAGAACAAGAAAGUAAAAUCAGUAAGAGACAGAAACGAAAAAAGAUCAGUUUUUUCAUUUUCUGAGACCGGAAGUGGUCAUCAGCAAGAGUGGAGCCAAACAGAGUAGGGUGCAUAGACUGUACAUAAUUUUUUUUUCGUGAGUUUUCAUGGUCAAAAUGAGAGAUCAGGUGGCCGAUCUUAAAAUAAAUCAAUAUUGAUUUUUUUUAUAGAACGUUAAAGUUUUGCGAAGCCAAGGGGCGGGACUACUUGAUUGACAGUCCGGGCUGGAAUGAUUGACAGGUCCUAUGGAGGAAGCAGCAGAGACUCUGCUCUCCUCGUUUGGAUUAAUUCUGAUAUAAUAACUGUUGGUUUAUUUAUCGGUGGAGCAGCAGAACAUUUUCCACAGACAGUUUUCCUGCCCGUUGGCUUGUUUUAACCAGUUUUCUACCUUCGGCUGAUUCUACCAGCAGACACUGAAAGGACUCUGAUAGUUCGAGUGAAAGCAGCAGUUCCUCCUUAAGGUCAGAGAUUGCAGCAUCUGAGGGCCUCUUCAAAAGAAGACGUAGUUGAUGAAGGCGUUCUGGAGCAGGACCAGAAAGACCAUGACCAAGCAGCCUUGAGAUCUUAGGCAGCGUCUCCCUCAGGUCCCUCUCUAUCUCCCCACACAUCCACCAAGCACUGGAACACAUCUCCGAAGUUCUGCCGGGCCAGCUCAGCUUCCCUUCAGAAGAAGUUCCACCAGAUGAAGGAGCCUUUUGAGAGGCAGCUGGCAUCGUGAUUGGACUGUACUUUGGUCUGUUCCAAUCCAGCUUCAGCUCCAGAGACGGCAGGCGGGACGAGUCAACGGAGGCCGAGUGGAUGAAGGCAUGCAGCUGAGUACAAUCCAGAAAACAACAGAGGAGGAGUGCAGUGGCCAGAACACACAGAGUAGUAUCCUAUCCUAUGUCUCUUAGAAAACAUCAUAGUAUAGCCUCUGGUAUGAAAAAACGCCAUCAUAUACAUCGUAUAUUAUACAAAUAACAAAUGGAAGGAAAGAGACAUACAUUGUAGAAUUGUAGUAAUUGUGGGCUGACUGAUUUACUGAUUAUCAGUAUUUUAUUUUUUACUGAUUUACGGUAAUAAAUACAUUUAAAAAUGGC